GGGGCUGUAGCUCAGUGGUAGAGCUCUUGCCUUGCAUGUGUGAGGCACUGAGUUCGAUCCUCAGCACCACA
rnacentral:tRNA from 1 species